rnacentral:rRNA from 1 species
GACGAACGCUGGCGGCGUGCUUAACACAUGCAAGUCGAACGAAGUGGCGAACGGGUGAGUAAGGCGGAAACAACCUGCUCUUCAGAGGGGGACAACAGGAGGAAACGACUGCUAAUACCGCAUACUGAAGGAGGGGAUUGCGUCUGAUUAGCUAGUUGGAGGGGUAACGGCCAACCAAGGCGAUGAGCAGUAGCCGGUCUGAGAGGGAGAACGGCCCCAUUGGGACUGGGACCAGGCCCAGGCUCCUACGGGAGGCAGCAGUGGGGGAUCUUCCGAAAUGGAGGACAGUCUGACGGAGCAACGCCGCGUGGGUGAUGACGGCCUUCGGGUUGUAAAGCUCUGUUAAUCGGGACGCGGUACCGGAAUAGAAAGCCCCGGCUAACUACGUGCCAGCAGCCGCGGUAAUAC